rnacentral:rRNA from 1 species
UGGGACUGAGACACUGCCCAGACUCCUACGGGAGGCUGCAGUCGAGAAUCAUCCGCAAUGGGCGCAAGCCUGACGGUGCGAUGCCGCGUGAGGGAUGAAGGCCUUCGGGUUGUAAACCUCUGUCAGGAGGGACGAAGAAUGUGACGGUACCUCCAGAGGAAGCCACGGCUAACUACGUGCCAGCAGCCGCGGUAAGACGUAGGUGGCGAGCGUUAUUCGGAUUUACUGGGCGUAAAGGGUCCGCAGGGGGUUUGCUGAGUCUGAUGUGAAAUCUCACGGCUCAACCGUGAAACUGCAUUGGAUACUGGCGAGCUAGAGUCUGCGAGGGGUGAGCGGAAUUCCUGGUGUAGCGGUGGAAUGCGUAGAUAUCAGGAAGAACACCGAUGGCGAAGGCGGCUCACUGGCGCAGUACUGACCCUCAGGGACGAAAGCGUGGGUAGCGAACAGGAUUAGAUACCCUGGUAGUCCACGCUGUAAACGUUGUGCACUCGAUGUGGGCGGAUCUGAUCCCGUCCGUGUCUAAGCUAACGCUUAAGUGCACCGCCUGGGGACUACGGCCGCAAGGCUAAAACUCAAAGGAAUUGACGGGGGCCCGCACAAGCGGUGGAGCAUGUGGCUCAAUUCGAGGCAACGCGAAGAACCUUACCUGGGCUUGACAUAAUCCUGAUCGCUGCGGAAACGUAGCUUCCCUUCGGGGCAGGAUUACAGGUGCUGCAUGGCUGUCGUCAGCUCGUGCCGUGAGGUGUUCGGUUAAGUCCGGCAACGAGCGCAACCCGUGUCGUCAGUUGCCAGCGGGUAAUGCCGGGGACUCUGGCGAGACUGCCCGUGUCAAGCGGGAGGAAGGCGCGGACGACGUCAAGUCCGUAUGGCCCUUACGCCCAGGGCUGCACACGUGCUACAAUGGACGGUACAAUGGGAAGCGAUACCGCGAGGUGGAGCAAAUCCGUGAAAACCGUCCCCAGUUCGGAUUGGAGUCUGCAACUCGACUCCAUGAAGCCGGAAUCGCUAGUAAAGGGGUAUCAGCAAUGGCCCCUUGAAUACGUUCACGGGCCUUGUACACACCGCCCGUCACAUCAUGGAAGCUGGCUGCACCCGAAGUCCACGACCUAACCCUCGGGAAGGAGUGGCCGAAGGUGUGUCCAGUAACUGGGAUGAAGUCGAAACAAGGUAGCCGUAGGGGCCUGCGGCUG